rnacentral:rRNA from 1 species
CAGUAGCCACGGUAAAACGAAGGGGGCUAGCGUUGUUCGGAUUUACUGGGCGUAAAGGGUGCGUAGGCGGACUGAUAAGUCAGGGGUGAAAUCCCAAGGCUCAACCUUGGAACUGCCUUUGAUACUGUUAGUCUUGAGUUCGAGAGAGGUGAGUGGAACUGCGAGUGUAGAGGUGAAAUUCGUAGAUAUUCGCAAGAACACCAGUGGCGAAGGCGGCUCACUGGCUCGAAACUGACGCUGAGGCACGAAAGCGUGGGGAGCAAACAGGAUUAGAUACCCCAGUAGUCCCUGUCUCUUAUAA